rnacentral:rRNA from 1 species
CCCUUAGAUGUUCUGGGCUGCACGCGCGCUACACUGAUGCGCUCAACGAGUUUUAACCUUGCCUGGAAAGGUUGGGUAAUCUUUUUAAAACGCAUCGUGAUGGGGAUAGAUUAUUGCAAUUAUUAAUCUUCAACGAGGAAUGCCUAGUAAACGCAAGUCAUCAGCUUGCAUUGAUUACGUCCCUGCCCUUUGUACACACCGCCCGUCGCUCCUACCGAUUGAAUGAUCCGAUGAAUAUCAUGGAUUGAGGAUGCAAGUAGGUUCGCCUAUCUUCAUCUUCGAGAAGUGAAGUAAAUCUUAUCAUUUAGAGGAAGGAGAAGUCGUAACA